GCAGUAUAUGUACAAAAUAUAUAUAUAAAGGACUAACUUGUUAAUAGAAUGAAUUUGUUGUGUUUCUGAGUUUAGUUGAUGCGAUUGCUUUACGUUUUCGUCGUACUUGAACGGUCGUCAGUACUGGCACUGGCUACAUAGGACAUAAAUUAUGUCCCCCCCCCGUCGCCAAAAAAUUUCGGUCAGUGUACCAUUUUAGGGGUCAAAAAAAUUUUCCGGACAUACAAAAAUAUUUCGGAACCUAACAAAAAUUUUCGAAACAUCACAAAAUUGACCACAAAAUUUGUCCCAUUUAUUUUUAUAAUAAACCAAAAUUGCCCGACUGUUCAGCGAAUAUUGCCCGACUGCCCAGGGGGGGGGGGGGGCUGCCGCCCCCCGCCCGGUACGCCCAUGGCUGAGCUAAUCGACUCGCUUGGCAGCUAGCUCAGCAAGUUUCUCUUGUGUGCGGAUAGGUUUCGUGAGGAUUUGACCUCUCGAGGCCUUGAGGAAAAUAUCUAUCGUGUUUAAUAUUUUUCACCUCGCGAAGAAAAAGUCUCAGCGUCUGCAGAUGUGGUGAGCUUAGUGCUGAGCUGCUUGAAUCUAUUAGCCAAUGAGAAACCAUAGUAAUGAGAAACCAUAGUUUCUUCAUGUGACUUUGAACAAAAUGGAGGAAACUGCAAACGAUUUUGUCAAUUAUGUUGUUGCUGAGUAGUUUUCCCAACGUGUGCGGUAAAAAUACAUAGAUGAGCUAGCCACCACGCGAGGCGGUUAAGGCGGAUUUCCAUUCGGUGGAAAAAGUCGCGCGAUCGACUUUUUGCGAUCACUUUAUUUUCAAAUGCGUGUAGUCAACCUAAUCCGUUGCGCUUUUUGCUUGUAUUUCAAAAGAAAGUGGUCGCAAAAAGUCGAUCGCGCGACUUUUUCCACUGAAUGGAAAUCCGCCUUUAGUUCAGCAAGUUUCUAUCGUGUGGGCAGGCUUUAGAUAACUGUUUUGAUUCACUUUAAAGUUUAAGAACCUUGCAAAAACUGUUCAAAUUGGUCAUUUGUUGAGAAGUCAACUUUGAGCUGUCCGUCUGUCUUAACAAGAUCUUGCCAUUCACCGUCCACAAAUGUCUCCACUUAGCAAUUUUUUCCUGAUAAGUGUUAAUGAUCAUUAAUAUAGAUAUUUUCAGAUCAUGAAUAUUUUUACCAUAUUCAGAUGCAAUUAGCGGUACAUCUUUGGACUUUUUCCCAAUCAAUUUAUUUCAACUUUUGUAAAACGCCUCUUUCAUAUCCCUAUGAAAAAAACUUUACAAUACUACGAUUCUUCACCUUCUUCGUUGGUGGAAGGCGAUGGCUGUUGAGAUAUGAUCUUCGGUUACAUUUAGUCCAAUCAUUUCGCCUACUUGGGCUGCUAGUUGUUUGGGACUAUCUAAUAGCGGGGGUGGUAUAUCUGUAAUUUCGAUGCAGUCACGGCGUAAAUACUGUUGAACAUCAUCCAAAGCCACGUUGCUGUUAUACAAUUCAUUCUUGUUACGCUUUACUCUAUACCUUCAGGGCUUUCAAUGCUAGUCUCUUUAUAUAUGUGACUUCUUUCUUCGUCCUUUGCGGACUGCAGUGAGCUCGAGCGUUUGAAGUUAUCAUAUUCGUUCGAUAGGUACUUUUGAGAGCUUUCAAUUUCGUUGCACUUCCCUGCGACCGAUGUUAUGUUGGAUUUUAGAUCCUCGAUCUCUGAUCUAAGCCGUCUUUUUGUAUAUAAAUGGUAGAAGUUCUUUCACCCAUAACUCUUUUGUUGAAUCAAUAGUCAAAGAUUCAGGGUUAUUUCUUAAUUUCGGAAGCAUUUCAGUAGAGCUCUCAACACACGUCUUGCUUCGACGACGCUUGGGGGCCUAUUAUCAUACGUAUUAUCAUAUAGAGAAACAUAUCACUCGAUAAUAAAUUCGUUCGAAGAUCAAGUGCAUGUUUACAAGUGCAUGUUUUACAAGUGCAUGUUUUAGAAGUCCAUGUUUUACAGGUCCAUGUUUUACAGGUCCAUGUUUUACAAGUCUAUGUUUUACAGGUCCAUGUUUUACAAGUCCAUGUUUUACAGGUCCAUGUUUUACAAGUCUAUGUUUUACAGGUCCAUGUUUUACAGGUCCAUGUUUUACAGGUCCAUGUUUUACAAGUCCAUGUUUUACAGGUCCAUGUUUUACAAGUCCAUGUUUUACAAGUCCAUGUUUUACAGGUCCAUGUUUUACAAGUCCAUCAUGUUUUACAGGUCCAUCAUGUUUUACAAGUCCAUGUUUUACAAGUCCAUGUUUUACCAGUCCAUGUUUUACAGGUCCAUGUUUUACAAGUCCAUGUUUUACAGGUCCAUGUUUUACAAGUCCAUGUUUUACAGGUCCAUGUUUUACAGGUCCAUGUUUUACAAGUCUAUGUUUUACAGGUCCAUGUUUUACAGGUCCAUCAUGUUUUACAAGUCCAUGUUUUACAGGUCCAUGUUUUACAAGUCCAUGUUUUACAGGUCCAUGUUUUACAGGUCCAUCAUGUUUUACAGGUCCAUCAUGUUUUACAGGUCCAUCAUGUUUUACAAGUCCAUGUUUUACAGGUCCAUCAUGUUUUACAAGUCCAUGUUUUACAAGUCCAUGUUUUACAAGUCCAUGUUUUACAAGUCCAUGUUUUACCAGUCCAUGUUUUACAAGUCCAUGUUUUACAAGUCCAUGUUUUACAAGCCCAUGUUUUACAAGUCCAUGUUUUACAAGUCCAUGUUUUACAAGUCCAUGUUUUACAGGUCCAUGUUUUACAAGUCCAGUCCAGAGUUUGCAAGUCCAGUCCAGUCCAGUCCAAGGUGCAGCCCAUGUUUUGCAAACAUGCCAUAUUUAGCUAGAAUUGCAUGCACAUGCUCAUUUCCCAAACUGGUUUGACUUGUUUCGCGUUUCUUUUGCAUCACGAGUAAUUCUUAGAUUUCAUGGCGCACUGUAUCCCGACACGAAGACAAUUAUAUUAUUAAUUAAUAAUAUUAAUUUGAUAAUUCAAAUAUAGCCCUUAAUGUAUGGAGGAAUAUUCUAACCAUUGAAGAUGCAUUAGAACUGAGAUAAUA